UCACGAAUCACCUGUGUAAGGAGAUUGACUUGAAAUCAAUUGGGCUCUGCCCGCGUAGGUUCGAAUCCUGCUGACUGCG